CUAUGGUUCUGUGAUCUUUAAGGACCCUACCAACCCAUUCGGUGGUUCUGUGAUCUUCAAGGACCCUCCCAACCCGUUCUAUGGUUCUGUGAUCUUUAAGGACCCUCCCAACCCGUUCUAUGGUUCUGUGACCUUUAAGGACCCUACCAACCCAUUCGGUGGUUCUGUGGUCUUCAAGGACCCUCCCAACCCGUUCUAUGGUUCUGUGGUCUUCAAGGAUCCUCCCAACCCAUUCUAUGGUUCUGUGAUCUUUAAGGAUCCUCCCAACGCAUUCCAAGGUUCUGUGACCUUCAAGGACCCUCCCAAUCCAACCCAAUCUUUCCAUGGUUCUGUGAUCUUCAAGGACCCUCCCAACCCAAUUUUUCCAUGGUUUUGUGGUCUUCAAGGACCCUUCCAACCCCGUCUAUGGUUCUGUGGUCUUCAAGGACCCUCCCAAUCCAACCCAACCAUUCCAUGGUUCUGUGACCUUUGAGGACCUUUCCAAUCCAAUCCCACUAUUCCAUGGUUCUGUGAUCUUUAGGAGCUUUCCAAUCCAACCUGACCAUUCCAUGGUUCUGUGACCUUCCAGGACCUUUCCAAUCCAACCUGACUAUUCCAUGGUUCUGUGAUCCUUAAGGACCUUUCCAAUCCAACCUGACCAUUCCAUGGUUCUCUGACCUUCCAGGACCUUUCCAAUCCAACCUGACCAUUGCGUGGUUCUCUGACCUGCAAGGACCUUUCCAAUCCAACCUGACCAUUCCAUGGUUCGGUGAUCUUUAAGGACCUUUCCAAUCCAACCUGACCAUUGCGUGGUGCUGUGACCUUCGAGGACCUUUCCAAUCCAACCCAGUCAUUCUAUGAUUCUGUGACCUUCAAGGACCUUUCCAACCCAACCUGACCAUUCCAUGGUUCUGUGACCUUCCAGGACCUUUCCAAUCCAACCAGACCAUUGUGUGGUUCUGUGACGUUCAGGGACCUUUCCAAUCCAACCUGACCAUUCCAUGGUUCUGUGAUCUUCAAGGACCUUUCCAAUCCAAUCCCACUAUUCCAUGUUUCUGUGACCUUCAAGGACCUUUCCAAUCCAACCUGACCAUUCCAUGGUUCGGUGAUCUUUGAGGACCUUUCCAAUCCAACCCAACCAUUCCAUGGUUCUGUGACCUUCAAGGACCUUUCCAAUCCAGCCUGACCGUUCCAUGGUUCUGUGACCUUCAAGGACCUUUCCAACCCAACCAUUCCAUGGUUCUGUGAUCUUUCAGGACCCUUCCAGCCCAACCAUUCCAUGGUUCUGUGACCUUUCAGGACCCUUCCAACCGAACCAUUCCUCAGUUCCAUGAUUUUCAAGGAUCCUUCCAACCCAACCAUUCCAUGGUUCUGUGAUCUUCCAGGACCCUUCCAACCCAACCCAGCUAUUCCAUGGCUCUGUGACCUUCAAGGACCCUUCCAACCCAACCAUUCCUUAGUUCCAUGACAUUCAAGGACCCUUCCAACCCAAC
rnacentral:lncRNA from 1 species